CACGUAGGGGACGAGCGUUGUCCGGAUUCAUUGGGCGUAAAGCGCGCGUAGGCGGCUCGGAAAGUCGGAUGUGAAAGCCCAGGGCUCAACCCUGGAAGUGCACUCGAAACUCCCGAGCUGGAGUCCCGGAGAGGAAGGCGGAAUUCUCGGUGUAGAGGUGAAAUUCGUAGAUAUCGAGAGGAACACCUGUGGCGAAGGCGGCCUUCUGGACGGUGACUGACGCUGAGACGCGAAAGCGUGGGAGCAAACAGG
rnacentral:rRNA from 1 species